rnacentral:rRNA from 1 species
CGUACGCGAAGACCCCGCAAGGGGUUGUUAGCGUGGCAAACGGGUGAGUAACGCGUGGGCGACCUGCCCUCGAGUGGGGGAUAACCUUCCGAAAGGAGGGCUAACACCGCAUGACAUACCGUGUUUGGAUACACGGAUAUCAAAGCCGGGGAUCGCAAGACCUGGCGCUUGGGGAGGGGCCUACGUCCGAUUAGCUAGUUGGUGGGGUUACGGCUCACCAAGGCGACGAUCGGUAUCCGGCCUGAGAGGGCGGACGGACACACUGGGACUGAGACACGGCCCAGACUCCUACGGGAGGCAGCAGUAGGGAAUUGUUCGCAAUGGGCGCAAGCCUGACGACGCAACGCCGCGUGGAGGAUGAAGACCUUCGGGUCGUAAACUCCUUUCGACCGAGAUGAACAUCCCGCGAUCUAAUACUUCGCGGGACUGACAGUACCGAGGGAAGAAGCCCCGGCUAGCUCCGUGCCAGCAGCCGCGGUAAUACGGGGGGGGCAAGCGUUGUUCGGAAUUACUGGGCGUAAAGGGUUCGUAGGUGGCCAACUAAGUCAGACGUGAAAUCCCUCAGCUUAACUGGGGAACUGCGUCUGAUACUGGUUGGCUUGAGUGCAGGAGAGGAACGCG